rnacentral:hammerhead_ribozyme from 1 species
AUCCAGUUGACGAGUCUCAAAUAGGACGAAACGCGCAUCGUGAAU